UACGUAGGGGGCGAGCGUUGUCCGGAUUCAUUGGGCGUAAAGCGCGCGCAGGCGGCUCCGAGAGCCCGGCGUGAAAGCCCCCGGCUCAACCGGGGGAGGUCGUCGGGGACCUCGGGCUGGAGGCCGGCAGGGGCGAGCGGAAUUCCCGGUGUAGUGGUGGAAUGCGUAGAGAUCGGGAGGAACACCAGUGGCGAAGGCGGCUUUCUGGGCAUUUCCGUGGACGCUGAGACGCGAAAGCGUGGGGA
rnacentral:rRNA from 1 species